GACGAACCGUGCGAACGUUGUUCGGAAUCACUGGGCUUAAAGGGCGCGUAGGCGGACCUCCAAGUCCGGGGUGAAAUCUUUCGGCUUAACCGGAAAAGUGCCUUGGAUACUGGGGGUCUCGAGGGAGGCAGGGGCGGAUGGAACUUCCGGUGGAGCGGUGAAAUGCGUUGAUAUCGGAAAGAACACCAACGGCGAAAGCACUCUGCUGGGCCGACACUGACACUGAGAGACGAAAGCUAGGGGAGCGAAUGGG
rnacentral:rRNA from 1 species